AUAGGUAGAUAGGUAGGCCUUAUGUGAAAAUAGGUAGAUAGGUAGGCCUUAUGUGAAAAUAUGUAGAUAGGUAGGCCUUAUGUGACAAUAGGUAGAUAGGUAGGCCUUAUGUGAAAAUAGGUAGAUAGGUAGGCCUUAUGUGAAAAUAGGUAGAUAGGUAGGCCUUAUGUGAAAAUAGGUAGAUAGGUAGGCCUUAUGUGAAAAUAGGUAGAUAGGUAGGCCUUAUGUGACAAUAAGUAGAUAGGUAGGCCUUAUGUGAAAAUAGGUAGAUAGGUAGGCCUUAUGUGUACAGGUAGAUAGGUAGGCCUUAUGUAAAAAUAAGUAGAUAGGGAGGCCUGGUGUGUAAAUAGGUAGAUAGGUAGGACUUAUGUGUUAUAAGUAGAUAGAUAGGCCAUAUGUAUAAACAGAUAGAUAGGUAGUCCUUAUGUAUAAAAGGUAGAUAGGUAGGUCUUAUGUGACAAUAGGUAGAUAGGGAGGCCUUAUGUCAAAAUAUGUAGAUAUUAGGCCUUAUCUACCAUGCUGAAGUGUUCCAGGUUAAUGAAGGCAGACCGCCCUGGUCGACUGAUCUCAUCAAGCUACAGGAACCUCAUGACAGAUUGAGUUACGUGAUCUCAUCCAGGAACAAGGACCACAAGGCAGACUGUCACGUGAUCUCAUCCAGGAACAAGGGCCACAAGGCAGACUGUCACGUGUUCUCAUCCAGGAACUGAGAGCCAGCUUGUUUCUCCGAAGCUGCCGACAGGCAUUGUAUCGUGUAGGGAGGCGUGGCUUCAUGAGUUUCCCCGGCACCGCCCUCUUCUAUACAUAUUCAUAAGCUGCAAAAUGAUGGACAAACACAAGUUGAGAAAGGUGUGUCUAUAUUUAAAAAAUACGUUGUGCUUGAAAUAUAAAUACAGAAUAUGACUGUUGGAUAGGUUUAUUUACAUUUGAGAAAUAAAUGCACGAAUUUCGGUGCAAUUAAAUUUCUUUUCAAGAGAAUAUAUUACUAUCGCGCAUGACAAACGUAUGAAUUCUGUAACUCCAUACCCCGAGUCCAGGGAGCCGCGUAUUAUGUGCCUUGGCACAUACCUUUGACGUAUGAUUUAAUAAAUGACUUGAUGUAUGAAAAAUACAGUACCUAACUGAGCGAUGAGCGAAAUAUUAGGAAGAAGACACAAUAUAUGAACAAUGAAGUCAAUAUUGAAUAGAAGAUUAACAAAUAAAUACAUAAAGAAAGAAACAAAGAAUAAAUGAACAAAUAAAUAAAGAAAUAACGAAAUAAUAAAGAAAUAAAUGAGCAUGGAAAACGGCUUCUUAGAUGUAUCAAUAAUAAGUAAUAUCUAAUAAUCGUGAGGUUUAUUGGUAGUCGAUUUUCAAAGGCACCUUUUGCGAUAUCUAUAUCCCUCUCUUUGAAAUUGAUAUGUCUUGUUACACAAUUUAAUUCCCUUUACUUCCAAUUUGGAAGUUAUUGUUUUACUUAUCUCAAGAAAUAAAAAAUGUUAUUGCGAGCAAUAGCAUAAAUAAUUUCUGCUUCUAUAUGAAAAAAGAACAACGAAAGGGAACAUUCACUCCAUAAUAGAAAAUGGAAAUCAGACGUAAGCCUGAAUUCUGAAUCAUUAAUCGAUGAUAAAUAUUGCAUAGAGAGACUAAUCAGCAAACGGCGAAAAUUCGGAAGUACUUCUUCUAUUGUUAUAUGGCCACAGAGAUUAACAUGUAAACAUGAAUCUAAACAAGUAAUAAAUACUAGCGGAAUAUUUCAGCAACCGAACAUAUUGAACGGAGGAUCUAGGGAAAUAUGAUUCAGUAAUACAGAUCCGUACCAUGUGCCCAUCCAGCCGCCAACAGAAUCCUCCUUGUUGCGCUAAUACAACAUGAGUUAAAGCGUAAAUGCCUCAAUAAUACCAGAAAUCAAUCACAUAGCACCAUGACAUUCAAGUGGAACAAAUUCAUUGUGUCAUCAUGGACUACCGUUGAUAAGCAAUACUUACAUUUCUCCGGAAUUGUGAAAACAACAACAUUGAAAUAUUGAAAUUGUAGUAGUUUAUUCAGAAGUAAUGUAGGCCCCGGUGACACACCGACAUGUACAGAGUGGGAAGGUCUCACUAGCAUAGCGUCAUAUAUGAUUGAUAAAUGUUUUAAAAUGGUUUUAUUUAAUGAUGGCAUGAACAUAUGAAAUUGUGAAUCGUUGGAUAUCCAUAGCAUUUUAAAGUAAUGCACGAACGUCGCAAUGCUUUGAUAUUAGUUCCAAAUGAAAUGUUAGAAAUGAUAUUAAUCUUCAAUAUAUUUCAUAUCUGGCUUCACCAAUAAUCCUGCCCGUUUCUCGUCGUAAUGUGAACCAGGUCUCAGGUCUAUUUUUCAGGGACAGGUCUAUUUUUCCUAUGGAUGACUAUGUUUAACCAACGAGUAUCUGUUUUGUGUCAUUUACUAAUGCAGCAUGUCAAUCUUGUUGAUACGAAACUACCUAAAUAUUCAUUUAAAAAUAACAUUUCAUUUCGAACCAUCUGUUCUUGCCAAACAAAUCCGAAUCCACAGACCUGCCGUGUGUGCUUUGUUUUAGAUACCCAUCACUACAGCCAUCACUUUCUACUUGUACCAGCGUGUUACAACAUAGCGAGUAUUAUAACAUAGCGAGUAUUAUAACAUAGCGAUUAUUAUGACAUAGCGAGUAUUUGACAUCUUCCAUAUUUUACACCAAUAUUUCACAGACCAUUUUAAGUUAUGAAAUAUAUAAUGGAUAUCUUCCACAUUCGCCUCGCUCAAUAUUAUUUUUCAAUUUUCAUUUUGUAUCCCAAAAUACAUCUAUAUAUAUCGGUGUUGGUAGACACAUAUGUAAUGUGUGAGGGAAUAUUUCAAAAGCUUAGGCAAUUCCUAUUUGUCAUCUGUUUUGAAUUUUUUUAAAUUUAAAUUGAGUUGAACAGAAAAUUUUGAAUGUCAUUGAAUUACUGAAAAAAAUCCAACAUGUUUCAAUUUUUGGUGAAUAAAGAAAUAUAGCAAUGUAUGUCAAUUAGUCACACGCGCAGAGGAAAUCAGUUUGAUAUAUUCAUUAUAUUAAGCCGGAACCAACAUACAGUUGUGAUAAUUGCAGUCAUAUGUGUUUAUUUUAUUUCUGAAAGAAUAAAUUGUUUGGUCAGAAAUGGAAAACACCGAAUGAAUAUGUUCAUCAGUCAUUAAGGCACACAGUACUCGUGUGAUCUGUGUGGGAAGUUCAGUAAUUUAACAGUCUGUGUAUAUGUACAGAAUUAAUCAUGAUAGUGUCGCGUACAUUGUCACACAUUUGCGUCUGCUAAACUAACCCUAGUUAGGAUACCCUGUUUACUGACUGUAUAAGACACACGUUACUUACAAGCACACGGGGUGAUAAUCCAGGCAGAGAGAUAUACUCCGGGUGGAACAUGGCGAGAUGAAUGUCGGCUCGACUCAUUGGGUUUUUGAAACGACAGUUGAAUGGGUGCAUUGUAACUUCUCGGAAAUAUCUCACAAUUUCACGGAAAAAUUAGGGGGAAUACCCAACUUACAUAACUCAUCUCGCUGGAUAUAGCUGACAUUGUCACUGAUACUGCUAACCCGCUGUGAGCAUUCAUUUAAAACUCAGCACCCGGAAAUAAGCGGAAUAUCAUCGGGGUACAGCACGAUUGAAGAAUGCAGAACCAGUAAAAUAUGUAAAAGCAGAUGGAUAACUUGCGAGUGUAGUUUUUCAUGAGUUUGUCGCUUCCAGUUGUUUCUUUCAUUUCUUUUUUAAUAAAUAUUCGAUUUGAAGUGAAGUUUCUAAUUUUUGUCAAUUCAAACAAUUUCAAGAUAACGCCAGCGGUAUUUAUUUAUUAUACAUUCUUAUCUUCGUGAUGUUAAAAUGGAUGUACGUUAAACUAAGGACAAAGCUGUAUGUAAACAUUACGUUCUUGACACAUAAAUAUAUAUAUGUUUAUUUAUAUAUCAUAUGUAUAUAAAUAAACAUAUCCGUCCCUGACUUGUAUUGUAUAUCUUAACCGCGUGAUUUACAUGCAGUUACAUGUCGUUGAAUGCAGAUAAUUUAUCGAAUGCUCCGUGAAAAUGGAAAAAGCUGCGUCAUAUCAGCUUCAUUUGUAAGGUCCUAUUUUGCUUCUUUUCAUCAAACACUGGUAUGAAGCAGUUAGGUAAAAUAUAUCCCAUUUACGAUUUAUUUUAUCUAUCUCACACAAUUAAGCUUUUAGUUUCCAAUGGGCGCUGUUACAAUACAGUGCGUGUGUUUAUCUACAAGUGAUUUGAAACAAAUACGGUGGAGAUUAAUAGUGCUGAGUACAAACCCACACAAAACGCUUUAAUUCUGAACUGAUGGCUUUCAAUCUUCUCCCUUUGCAAAGCAACCAAAUCAGCAACCUAUUGUAACUCAACUUCACCGAUAUGUUGCUGAAGUCCCUUGUCAAAAUGACUGGUUGCUAAGAGCGACUGUUCGUAUGACAGUGUCUGGGCGGGGUGAUGCCUUAAUACUGACAGACAUUAAUUUUGAUAAUGGAGACGGGAGGGGCAUCAUUUUUUAACACAAAAUAUAUAUUGUUUGUUGGAUAUAAUGGAUGUCCUGAAAUAUAAAUGUGUUGCGA